CGGACGGGUGAGUAACGCGUGAGAAUCUGGCUUCAGGUCUGGGACAACCACUGGAAACGGUGGCUAAUACCGGAUGUGCCGAAAGGUGAAAGGUUAACUGCCUGAAGAUGAGCUCGCGUCUGAUUAGCUAGUUGGAAGUGUAAUGGACUCCCAAGGCGACGAUCAGUAGCUGGUCUGAGAGGACGAUCAGCCACACUGGGACUGAGACACGGCCCAGACUCCUACGGGAGGCAGCAGUGGGGAAUUUUCCGCAAUGGGCGAAAGCCUGACGGAGCAAUACCGCGUGAGGGAGGAAGGCUCUUGGGUCGUAAACCUCUUUUCUCAGGGAAGAACACAAUGACGGUACCUGAGGAAUAAGCAUCGGCUAACUCCGUGCCAGCAGCCGCGGUAAUACGGAGGAUGCAAGCGUUAUCCGGAAUGAUUGGGCGUAAAGCGUCCGCAGGUGGCAAUGUAAGUCUGCUGUUAAAGAGUCUAGCUCAACUAGAUAAGAGCAGUGGAAACUACAUAGCUAGAGUACGUUUGGGGCAGAGGGAAUUCCUGGUGUAGCGGUGAAAUGCGUAGAGAUCAGGAAGAACACCAGUGGCGAAGGCGCUCUGCUAGGCCGUAACUGACACUGAGGGACGAAAGCUAGGGGAGCGAAUGGGAUUAGAUACCCCAGUAGUC
rnacentral:rRNA from 1 species